CACAAAACGGGUGUCAAUAGUAUUCCUCAGGACCCAAGGUCAGCUCCAGCAAUCACAUCAGGUACCUCACAACCACAGAUACCUGCAGCUCCAGGGGCCCCAACACCAUGUGGACUUGAACUCAGGACCUCUGGAAGAGCAGUCAGAGCUUUUAACCGCUGAGCUGUCUCUCCAGCCCCAGCCCAUAUCUCUCAGUCCUCCUCCAAAGCAUCAGCUUUUAAAACAGUGUGAGAUACAGCGACCUGUACAGUCGUACGCUGUGUGUUUAACUCACCCGCACUGUCCAGCAGUUCCCUCUGUAAACAGUGCUGCAGAGAGUAUCUUGGCAGCAGCUUCUCUAUGACAAACGUCCUGAAGAAUUAACUCGUAAUCCGUAUGACAAACAGCCUUCCGGAAACUUCAGGUAAGUUUAUU
rnacentral:lncRNA from 1 species